rnacentral:misc_RNA from 1 species
AGGGUGAAAGUUUCUUCAAUUAUAGCAAUUCCUGGUUGUGUUAUUGUUUUUGCACUUGGGUUUUCAAUUGGGGUUUUUAAUGGUGGUAAAAUGAACUUAGAUGGUAAUAAGAGGUUGCAUCAAGAUCAGAUUUUUAAAGAUUUUAUUGAGAAAUUAAGGGUUUUGGUGGAUUUUCUUAGUGGGGUUGAUGUAGAGAUUGGUAAUUUGAAGAAGGGUGUUAGGAAAGGAAUUGAGAAUAAUCA